GCAGUGUGGUAGUAAUACAAAAGGAGACGUGGUCUGCAGGCAUCAAAGAGUAGAGCUACAGUCCCUUUCCACAACGUUGGAGAUGAAGCUGAGCUUCGUGCUCGCACCUGCAUAUUCCUACAACUUCUCAGAGUCCUGUGGACGAUGACUGAGGAGGCAAACCAUGCAGGAAACAGUC